AGAUUCAUUGAUGCAGUUUGGAAAUAAUGGUGAAGGUGCUGAACCCUCAGCAGGAGGGCAGUUUGGUGAGUAUUUGGUUGACAGACUUUGUCCCUAUAAGGGAAGUUGGUCCCCUUUGUGUGAUGCUCUCACAUGUACACACCGAGAGCUGGUCACUCGGAAUGGUAGGAGAUUCUAGAGCUUUGCUUUCCAAAAGAGAUGGUAUGAAUGCCACAUGUGUGAGUAUAAAUCUUCUAGCAGCCACACUGGAAAUAGACGAACUUAAUUUUUACAAUAUAUUUUAUUUAACCCACUAAAUCCAACAUACUCUCAAUUUAACAUUUCAGAAAAAGUUGAGGCUGGGUGAGUGGCUCAUGCCUGUAAUCCCAGCACUUUGGGAGGCCGAGGUGGGUGGAUCACUUGAGGUCAGGAGUUCGAGACCAGUCUGACCAAAAUCUCUAAAAUAUAAAAAUUAGCUGGGCAUGGUGGCGCAUACCUGUAAUCCCAGCUACUCAAGAAGCUGAGGUGGGAGGAUCGCUUGAGCCUGGGAGGUGGAGGUUGCAGUGAGCAGAGAUCGUGCCACUGCACUCCAGCCUGGGCGACAGAGUGAGACUCCAUCUCAAAUAAACAAAACUAAACUAAAAAGAAAAAGUUGAGACCUUUUUUUAUUCUUUUUUUUCAUACUAAGCCUUUAAAAUCCAGUGGGCUUUUGACAGCCACAGCACAGCUCAGUUUGGACAAACCAAAUCUCAAAUGCUUGGUGGCCACGUGUGUCUCGGGGCUCCUGAAUUAAACAGUAGAUCAAGGGCAGAAGAUCUCAGGACAGCCUUAGAGCUUCUGUAAACAUGGAGCUCUGGGAAUCAGUUAAGGUGGGAAUGAGAAAGGACCCUUCCCGAGGCAGGGUCCUCCAGGGAGGAGGGUAAAUCUGGCUUUUCUGACCAUCCCUGGGCCUUAAGGGGCAGGAGAUUGGAUAGCAGUGGUAGCCUGGGCCCUGUCCUCUGAAGGGCUGGGGGCGUGGCCUGCCAGUUGCAGAGGGUGGACAACUGAACUAGUUUUCCCUGUCUGUCCCUCCAGAGUCCCUCACCUUUGACAUGGAGUUGACCUCGGAGUGCGCUACCUCCCCCAUGUGAGGAGCUGAGAACGGAAGCUGCAGAAAGAUACGACUGAGGCGCCUACCUGCAUUCUGCCACCCCUCACACAGCCAAACCCCAGAUCAUCUGAAACUACUAACUUUGUGGUUCCAGAUUUUUUUUAAUCUCCUACUUCUGCUAUCUUUGAGCAAUCUGGGCACUUUUAAAAAUAGAGAAAUGAGUGAAUGUGGGUGAUCUGCUUUUAUCUAAAUGCAAAUAAGGAUGUGUUCUCUGAGACCCAUGAUCAGGGGAUGUGGCGGGGGGUGGCUAGAGGGAGAAAAAGGAAAUGUCUUGUGUUGUUUUGUUCCCCUGCCCUCCUUUCUCAGCAGCUUUUUGUUAUUGUUGUUGUUGUUCUUAGACAAGUGCCUCCUGGUGCCUGCGGCAUCCUUCUGCCUGUUUCUGUAAGCAAAUGCCACAGGCCACCUAUAGCUACAUACUCCUGGCAUUGCACUUUUUAACCUUGCUGACAUCCAAAUAGAAGAUAGGACUAUCUAAGCCCUAGGUUUCUUUUUAAAUUAAGAAAUAAUAACAAUUAAAGGGCAAAAAACACUGUAUCAGCAUAGCCUUUCUGUAUUUAAGAAACUUAAGCAGCCGGGCAUGGUGGCUCACGCCUGUAAUCCCAGCACUUUGGGAGGCCGAGGCGGAUCAUAAGGUCAGGAGAUCAAGACCAUCCUGGCUAACACGGUGAAACCCCGUCUCUACUAAAAGUACAAAAAAUUAGCUGGGUGUGGUGGUGGGCGCCUGUAGUCCCAGCUACUCGGGAGGCUGAGGCAGGAGAAUCGCUUGAACCUGAGAGGCGGAGGUUGCAGUGAGCCAAAAUUGCACCACUGCACACUGCACUCCAUCCUGGGCGACAGUCUGAGACUCUGUCUC
rnacentral:lncRNA from 1 species